AUUGAACGCUGGCGGCAGGCCUAACACAUGCAAGUCGAACGAGAGGCGGACGGGUGAGUAAUGUAUGGGCAUCUGCCUGAUGGAGGGGGAUCACUACUGGAAACUGUGGCUACUACCGCAUACCAUCGGAUGUGCCCACAUGGGAUUAGCUAGUAGGUGGGGUAAAGGCUCACCAAGGCGACGAUCUCUAGCUGGUCUGAGAGGAUGAUCAGCCAAACGGGGACUGAGACACGGCCCAGAAUCCUACGGGAGGCAGCAGUGGGGAAUAUUGCACAAUGGGCGAAAGCCUGAUGCAGCCAUGCCGCGUGUAUGAAGAAGGCCUUAGGGUUGUAAAGUACUUUCAGCGGAGAGGCGUUACCCGCAGAAGAAGCACCGGCUAACUCCGGGCCAGCAGCCGCGGUAAUAC
rnacentral:rRNA from 1 species